AUGCACUCUGGCGGCGUGCCUAAUACAUGCAAGUCGAGCGAACAGAUGAGGAGCUUGCUCCUCUGACGUUAGCGGCGGACGGGUGAGUAACACGUGGAUAACCUACCUAUAAGACUGGGAUAACUUCGGGAAACCGGAGCUAAUACCGGAUAAUAUAUUGAACCGCAUGGUUCAAUAGUGAAAGACGGUUUUGCUGUCACUUAUAGAUGGAUCCGCGCCGCAUUAGCUAGUUGGUAAGGUAACGGCUUACCAAGGCAACGAUGCGUAGCCGACCUGAGAGGGUGAUCGGCCACACUGGAACUGAGACACGGUCCAGACUCCUACGGGAGGCAGCAGUAGGGAAUCUUCCGCACUUGUCGAAAGCCUGACGGAGCAACGCCGCGUGAGUGAUGAAGGUCUUCGGAUCGUAAAACUCUGUUAUUAGGGAAGAACAAAUGUGUAAGUAACUCUGCACGUCUUGACGGUACCUAAUCAGAAAGCCACGGCUAACUACGUG
rnacentral:rRNA from 1 species